rnacentral:rRNA from 1 species
UUUAUGGAGAGUUUGAUCCUGGCUCAGGACGAACGCUGGCGGCGUGCCUAAUACAUGCAAGUCGAGCGAAUGACGAGAAGCUUGCUUCUCUGAUUUAGCGGCGGACGGGUGAGUAACACGUGGGCAACCUGCCCUGUAGACUGGGAUAACUUCGGGAAACCGGAGCUAAUACC